UCAAUAUCAUAACGCCGUUGCCACAACUAAUAUCAACAAAUACAGAGACCAAGUGAACAACUGAACUCUGAACAAAUAUUUUGUUUCUUUAAACAAAAUAUUUGUUCAGAGUUUCAGAGUUGUUUCAGAUAUUCUAAAGUCGAGAAAAUGCCGAAAAUAGUUGAAAAGCCGCAAAGAAAGAGUAUCAGGAAAUGUUAUGCAGAAUUGAGGGCAGCUCAUCUGAAAAGUAAUCCUGAUACUCUUUCAUCUACCAUUUUCCAGAUGGUAUCAAACAUUUUCGAUCUGAACGUUUCCACAAUCCGAAACAUUGUUAAUGAAGAGGACGACAAAGAAUUUCCUCCUAUUGGGAGACCCAAAAAGGUGGAAGAAAUUGAGAAGUUUAUUUUUAGAAAAGACCUGCAACGGCGAAUUUGGGAUUAUAAUUUGAAAAAUGAACACUUUAGUGUUGACACUCUACUUAAUUAUGCAAAAAAUGAUUUGGAAUAUACCGGGGGACGGACAUCACUUUACAAAAUUUUAAAAUCGAUGGGUUACAAAUACAAAAGGGUGGAUGAACGCAAAAUUUUAUGUGAACAAAAGCAUGUCGUUGCAGCCAAAAUUACUUUCCUGCGAAAAUUUCUACAAUAUAAAUCAGAUGAAGAUAUCAGAUUCGUGUUCCUCGACGAAACUUGGAUUUACCAAAAUGGUUCUUCUGUUCGUCGAUGGACACACGAAUCUGAUAUAAAGAGCAACCCAUCCAAAAUUAAACAUGAAGGAAAACGUUUUACGGUUUUACACGCAGGAAGUAAUUGUGGAUUUUUAGAGGGGUGUAGUUUAAUUUUAAAUUCGGCAAACAAUGACAGAGACUAUCACAAUACAAUGACCAGUGAAUUAUUUCAUAAUUGGAUCAUUAAUCAACUGAUUCCUGCAUUAGCUAAGAUUCCUGGAAAAUGUGUGGUUGUAAUGGACAAUGCCCCUUAUCAUUCGGUGCAAUUGGACAAGCCACCCACAUUUUCCAGUAAGAAAAGUGAAAUGCAGGAUUGGUUGAUUAAAAACAAAAUUAAUUUCAGUCAAAAUUCAAAUAAAAAACAACUUUGGCAAUUAAUACUACCCUUUCGAAAUAGAAGUCAACGAAAAUAUUUAGUGGAUGACCUUUUGAAAGAGCAUGGGCAUGAUGUUCUUAGAUUACCCCCAUACCAUUGUCAGUAUAAUCCUAUUGAAAUGGCCUGGGCGUUCUCUAAGAACUUCUACAACAAGAACAUAAAUUCUCUUCCCUAUUCCAAAGAUAGGGUUUUGAAUUUAUGGACUUUGGCUCUUUCAAAAUGUACAUCGGAAAUGUGGAAAAAUUUUUGUAUGCAUUGUGAUAGGCUCAUAACUGACGACUGGGCUAAAUUUAUGGGUAAUCUCCCAAUAGCAGAUAUUCCUCCAUUCAUUAUUUCAUUGGGAGAAUCAGAUUCUUCUGAUGAUGAGUCUGAUUCAAUCGAUGACCUAAUGAAUGCGGAAUAAUAAUGUAGAGGAAAUUUUGAGGUUGUCCAUUCUGCUACAAAAGAUGAAAUGUUUGAGGUACCUACACCCUCAGUAUACAUCUGAAGCAAGUUUUGAAAAGUAAUUGAUCUCUCUGAAUAUCCAUCGGCCAGACUACAAGGCAGUUGUAAACGAGAAAUCCAAAAAUUUCAAUAGGAUCAUCAUUCAUUGAGAAUGUUGGAACUGAAUGGAAUGAAAUUAAAUCUCGCAGUAAGGCAGAGGGAAUGGCAUUUUAACACUAUAUACAUUCAAGAAUGUUGGAACUGAACGGAAUGAAAUAAAAUCUAGCAGUAAGGCAGAGGGAAUGGCAUUUUAACACUAUAUACAUUCAAGAAUGUUGGAACUGAACGGAAUGAAAUAAAAUCUCGCAGUAAGGCAGAGGGAAUGGCAUUUUAACACUAUAUACAUUCAAGAAUGUUGGAACUGAACGGAAUGAAAUAAAAUCUCGCAGUAAGGCAGAGGGAAUGGCAUUUUAACACUAUAUACAUUCAAGAAUGUUGGAACUGAACGGAAUGAAAUAAAAUCUCGCAGUAAGGCAGAGGGAAUGGCAUUUUAACACUAUAUACAUUCAAGAAUGUUGGAACUGAACGGAAUGAAAUAAAAUCUCGCAGUAAGGCAGAGGGAAUGGCAUUUUAACACUAUAUACAUUCAAGAAUGUUGGAACUGAACGGAAUGAAAUAAAAUCUCGCAGUAAGGCAGAGGGAAUGGCAUUUUAACACUAUAUACAUUCAAGAAUGUUGGAACUGAACGGAAUGAAAUAAAAUCUCGCAGUAAGGCAGAGGGAAUGGCAUUUUAACACUAUAUACAUUCAAGAAUGUUGGAACUGAACGGAAUGAAAUAAAAUCUCGCAGUAGGGCAGAGGGAAUGGCAUUUUAGUACUAUAUAUAUUCAAGAAUAUUUAAUAUUUUUGUAUAAACAAAAAGAUCUCUCUUCUCAUCUUCUUAAUUUCAAAAAGAAUUAUUGUACAUACAAGCAAAAUGUCAUUCAAUUUGCCCAAAAACAAUCUAUAAACUACUCGGAGGUAAACACAAGCUUGAAAUUUCCAAACAAACUGCUAUGUAUUCAUUUAUAUAUAUAUAUAAGAUGGUUUUCUGUUAGAGGGUGUGAGUGGCCCAGAUAAGUUGGGUUCAGGGUGCCUAGAUUAUUAAGGUUCAAAUAGUCAUUAUUCAAUACUUUAACAUCUCCAUAUGAAAUUUCUUGCUCAGGUGUAUCAGGCCAUAAUAUUGUGUGAUCAUCUGCCAACCACUGUUGAGUUGCUCAAUAAAAACAAAUAAAAAAAGAAACAAUCAAAUGUAUCUUGUAUAAAAAAGUUACUAGAGUGUUAAGGAUUUUCAAUAAAUGUCAUCGUUAAAUAAGUUCUAGAAGGUCAAUUUUACAUUUGACUUGUCCUAUACAUUGUGAAUGUCUUAAGGGAUCAAUAAAUAUUUUGUGUGAAA